GGACUACGUCUUCUUCGUCCUUCAUCUCCAUUAACACUUUCUAGCCCUUUUUCCUUCUAUUCUUCAAAUCAAGUCUCUUUGGCCCUUUCAUUCUCUCUUCUUAUAUGUAGAGAUUUUGGUCUGAGAAUUAGUGUUUUGGCGAUAUGACAAUGAAUGAGCGGAAGACAAUUGACCUAGAGCAAGGAUGGGAGUUUAUGCAAAAGGGGAUAACAAAGCUGAAGAACAU
rnacentral:misc_RNA from 1 species